UUUAAGACACAGCUGAAGGAAACAGGAAGACUACACGUCACAGUCUGAAUGACGCAUCCACACUGCAGGAAAAGAGGAGAAAAGAAACCUUUGGAAGGAAAAGUCAGAGCAGAGAGGUUAAACCGCUUUGAGAAAGAGAUGAAACACAAACAAAUACCAGGGGGCAACCGUUCAGUGGAAAAAUUUACUGAAAGAAAGUGGCUAGAAGGCCCCUACUUCGGAUCAACUCAUUAUCCCGAAUAAACGAUGUGUCAUUCCCAUUAUUUAUGUUUCACUGCAGCCAAAGUAUCUGGACCUCGUUUUGGUAAGCACCAUUCAUUUCGACCCAUUCAGUAUU
rnacentral:lncRNA from 1 species